GGCUGAAAUUCGCCUUCAUGAAGCUGGAAUUGCUAGUAAUGGCAGGUCAGCAUACUGCCGUGAAUACGCUCCCGGGCCUUGUACACACCGCCCGUCACACCAUGAGAGUUGGGAAUACCCGAAGCCUGUGAGCCAACUUUUAAAGAGGCAACAGUCGAAGGUAGAAUCAAUGAUUGGGGUGAAGUCGUAACAAGGUAUC
rnacentral:rRNA from 1 species